CUCAUCAUUGGCGAUGAAGCUCGCCCGAGGAUAUUACCAGCUUCCUGAACCGCCCCAACCAGGCUGAUAGCUUCUACUGGCCC
rnacentral:ncRNA from 2 species